rnacentral:rRNA from 1 species
CCCGAUAGAUCAUUAUGCCUGGAAUGGUUUAUGAUCCAAAUGAAUUCCGCCAUAGGAUGGGACUGCGGUCUAUCAGCUUGUUGGUGAGGUAAUGGCCCACCAAGGCUAUAACAGAUACGGGCUCUGAGAGGAGAAGCCCGGAGAUGGGUACUGAGACACGGACCCAGGUCCUAUGGGGCGCAGCAGGCGAGAAAACUUUGCAAUGUGCGAAAGCACGACAAGGUUAAUCCGAGUGUUUCCUGCUAAAGGAAUCUUUUGUCAGUCAUAACACCACUGAUGAAUAAGGGGUGGGCAAGUUCUGGUGUCAGCCGCCGCGGUAAAACCAGCACCUCAAGUGGUCAGGAGGAUUAUUGGGCCUAAAGCAUCCGUAGCCUGCUUUGUUAGUUUUCGGUUAAAUCCAUAUGCUCAACAUAUGGGCUGCCGGGAAUACUACAUAGCUAGGGAGUGGGAGAGGUAGACGGUACUCCAUAGGAAGGGGUAAAAUCCUUUGAUCUAUGGAAGACCACCAGUGGCGAAGGCGGUCUACCAGAACACGUUCGACGGUGAGGGAUGAAAGCUGGGGGAGCAAACCGGAUUAGAUACCCGGGUAGUCCCAGCUGUAAACUAUGCAAACUCAGUGAUACAUUGGCUUGUGGCCAAUGUAGUGCCGCAGGGAAGCCGUUAAGUUUGCCGCCUGGGAAGUACGUACGCAAGUAUGAAACUUAAAGAAAUUGGCGGGGG